UACGGGGGGGGCAAGCGUUGUUCGGAAUUACUGGGCGUAAAGGGCUCGUAGGUGGCCAACUAAGUCAGACGUGAAAUCCCUCGGCUUAACCGGGGAACUGCGUCUGAUACUGGAUGGCUUGAGUUUGGGAGAGGGACGCGGAAUUCCAGGUGUAGCGGUGAAAUGCGUAGAUAUCUGGAGGAACACCAAUAGCGAAGGCAGCUCGCUGGGACGUUACUGACACUGAGGCGCGGAAGCGUGGGGAGCGAACAGG
rnacentral:rRNA from 1 species